ensembl:lncRNA
CUCGCGGUCCCCGUCCGCGAUCCCGCCGGGAUCAGAGCUCCGGGCUCCCCCCUGCAGCGGGGACACGGACACAAACUUUCCGCCGGCCCCGGAGCGGGAGGAGGGCGCGGACAGAGCCCCGGUUCCCGUCCGAACUCCGAAGGACGACCCCCGCCCCGCCCCGGUACCGGACCCGGUGGACGAUCCUCGCUGCGCUCUCUCCCCCGUAGCUCCGCAGACGCCCGUUAGCGGGACGGCGCGGACAGCCGCCCCCCGGUGCUGAGGUCCCGGAUAAUCCCCUAACGAUCUAGUUAAGGGAUCGGCGGGGCUCGGAGCGGCUUGAGCUGAGCACAGAUAUUUUACCGCCUUUGUCUCUGCCUACCGGUCCCCAGCGGGCUCCCGCGGAAGGGAAUUGGAGGCACCGGGCGGCCCCGGGGAGUCCCGCGUGGGAGGCGGUGUGCGGAGCGAUCCCGCAGGCAGCGGGGCUUGGGGGCGUUGUGGGGCGGGGAGGGGGGAGAUGAACCCCGGGAGCACAGCGCGAUCCACGCGGGACGCGGACUCGUGGGGCUGCCGGGGAAGGCAGCGGGGAAGGGCGGGGUGGCAGCGCGGGGCGGACGGGUGAUAAGAGGUGGCGCCGGGUCACGCGUGGGCUCGGACUCGAGAGGGAGCAGUGGGAUCGGGACGACUCCUGGUAAGCGAAGCCCAAGCUGUAUCCUAAGCGCCGAUCGCUGCCGGCACGUUCCCUGCACCAUCUUCCGAGCCAGGGCCACCCCUCCCCAUUUGAUCCUCCUUAUCCCUGCUGUGACCCCACAGCCCCUGAUCUGUCCCCUCGUCCCUGAUCGGCCGUGUCCGCCCUCCUCCCCCACCCCUCCCUUCCCGUACGCCCCCCACAUCGCAGAUCUGUAUCUCCCCCAGCGCUACCGGAGCUAAGACGGACGGGGGAGGGACGCUCCAGAGAGCUCGGAGAAAUGCUUAGGACAGAGAGGGCGGCUGGCAGAUCGGGACGGGAUGCAGCAGGAGAUGCCGCAGGUUGAACUGCUUCAGAAAAGCCACGCAGGGAGCAAAGGGGGGGGAAGCACCCCACUGCCCACCAGCGCCAAGCCUCACUGCCACUCCACGUCCCUGCCCACCACGUUCUGGGGCAGAAGAAGGGUCUGAAAGCAAAUCAGUCCGUCAGACUUCAUAUCCCCUCCCCCAGCUCCCCAAGGCACCCGUGUGCCCAGCCAUGCGUAUGGGUUUGUUGCUCCCUUCUUGCUGGAAGCGAGAGCAGCUAUAGUUUGCAUUGCCCGUGAGGGAAAGCACAGUGAGGGCUCCUGCUGGAAGCUGGGAAUGAGCC